UAUAAUUUAAUCUAUGAAAUCGUCUUAUUAUUAUUUAUAUGGUAUUUUCGAAAUAAGGAGGUCACUGUUAAUUCUCCGUUUAUUUCAGGCGGCGUUCAUUUAUAAUAUAUAUUUUUUAACACACACUAGGUUUAGGGUUUCUGAACGUCGGCUCGUUUCUAUAAAUCCCCUGUUUCCGCCGCUAUCAUUCGUCUGGCAUCCUCUCUUCACAAUUUCAACUUCUUUCCGGAGUAUCUUAGUCAUUGCUUAUAGAAAUGUAUUUUUCUGCCAUAAAUCCUCUUUUCGAAUUUUGAUAUAAGAUAUGCUAUGAUGAUAUCUUUACUGUGUACCGUAGACUGAUCUCUAUUGGAUCCGUCGGUGACGGUAACACAUCCCUCUAAGAAGUUCUGAGCUGACCAUGUUUACCUUAAUUUCAUGUUUUAUUAUACUUUGGUUUUGAUUUUGAUACGAGAUCAAGUUUUCCUGCUUUCAUUACAAAAUAAAAAAUAAAAAAUUUGCUUGCUGUAUUUUCAAUGUCAUGUUUUCUUGCGUUUGAUUGGAGGGGAAAAGCGAGGUGACGAUAGAAAUUCAUGUCUGUCAAUCCACUGAACUACGGUGUGAUGUUACUCUGAAUCCCGACAGGUUCCGAUCGCUUUAUUUUAUCCCUCUCAAUCCCACAAUAAAUGUUGAAAGAAUUUGGUCUGUAUUGCGAUGGUCGAUAGUAAAGUCAAUGUUUCUUUAGGCUUGAUGAUAAUAUGCAUUUUUUAUGGUUAUUAUUUGGUGGGCAAGUGAUGAAUCUCAUUUUAUUAAUGGGUAAUUUGCGUCUGAAACUUGCAUUGAUGCUAUAUCACCUUGGAGAACUGAUGCUCACAUGGUACUUUCAUAUUUUGAGUUUGAUUAAACGUAUUCACUUGUGUGCUAUGGAUGAAUGACUUAAUUUCUUACCGAUUAUGUAUGAUUGUUAUAACACAACGGUAUUGGAUAUAUAAGCUAUGCUAUUUGCUUCGAUAAACUCUCCAAUAUUUGUUAAUCGGUUUAAUAUAUUUGGAUCAGAGACUUGUUCUGUAUGUACCAAUUAGCUGUUUCAAGACUAGGGAUGCUCAUUUUUGUGGGAGUCCUUGAUAUAUGAGAGCUACUACUUUGAAGGAUCUGCAGUCUUUACAGGUCUGUUUGAUGCGGCUUCUUGGAGCCAUGCGGUACAAUUUCAAUGAAGCUUCAUGUGGUUCAAUAAGUUCUGACCGUGAAGUUUGCUGGAUAUAACCAGUCUUAUAAAGCCCUAAUUUGCCAUGCUCUUGUAAAUAGCUUUUUCUGUUAAAUGGAUCAGAUUGUAGGCUAAAUUUGGAGGUGCUUGAAUUACAACUCAAAAAGGUCUUCCGGAAUAGAUUAGGUAUCAUUGAUUUACCUGAUCGAAUUGGGAACGUAGAUCAGAUUUUGGUAUGUAUUUCCUAUAGGGAAUGGUUGUGCGAUAAUUCAACAGAUUGACCUGUUAAGGGUUGGGGACUUUGUGUCAUAUUACGGGCAUAUAAUGCUAGUAGGUCAGCAUGGCUUGACCUUUGAGCAUGGUGAGUUGCGUUGGAGCUUGUCCAAUUAGGUUCACUGUCAUGUUUACCUCUACCAUUCUCUGAAAUUGGCAAAUAAGAGAUGUUAAUUUUCUCAA